UACGAAGGGGGCUAGCGUUGCUCGGAAUGACUGGGCGUAAAGGGCGCGUAGGCGGCUCAUACAGUCAGGCGUGAAAUUCCUGGGCUCAACCUGGGGGCUGCGUUUGAUACGUGCGGGCUUGAGUUCGGAAGAGGGUCGUGGAAUUCCCAGUGUAGAGGUGAAACUCGUAGAUAUUGGGAAGAACACCGGUGGCGAAGGCGGCGACCUGGUCCGAUACUGACGCUGAGGCGCGAAAGCGUGGGGAGCAAACAGG
rnacentral:rRNA from 1 species